rnacentral:rRNA from 1 species
AAACUUUCAACAAUGGAUCUCUUGGUCCCGGCAUCGAUGAAGAACGCAGCGAACUGCGAUAAGUAAUGUGAAUUGCAGAAUUCAGUGAAUCAUCGAGUCUUUGAACGCACAUUGCGCCCCCUGGCAUUCCGGGGGGCAUGCCUGUCCGAGCGUCAUU